GACGAACGCUGGCGGCGUGCUUAACACAUGCAAGUCGAACGGAAAGGCCCUGCUUUUGUGGGGUGCUCGAGUGGCGAACGGGUGAGUAACACGUGAGUAACCUGCCCUUGACUUUGGGAUAACUUCAGGAAACUGGGGCUAAUACCGGAUAGGAGCUCCUGCUGCAUGGUGGGGGUUGGAAAGUUUCGGCGGUUGGGGAUGGACUCGCGGCUUAUCAGCUUGUUGGUGGGGUAGUGGCUUACCAAGGCUUUGACGGGUAGCCGGCCUGAGAGGGUGACCGGCCACAUUGGGACUGAGAUACGGCCCAGACUCCUACGGGAGGCAGCAGUGGGGAAUAUUGCACAAUGGGCGGAGGCCUGAUGCAGCAACGCCGCGUGCGGGAUGACGGCCUUCGGGUUGUAAACCGCUUUCGCCUGUGACGAAGCGUAAGUGACGGUAAUGGGUAAAGAAGCACCGGCUAACUACGUG
rnacentral:rRNA from 1 species